AUAUAUAUAUAUAUAUAUAUAACAUGUAAUCUUUAAAUUUUUUUAUUAAUAAAAAAACCCUAAACCGAACCGACAAUUAAAAAAUGUAAGAAAAAUUGAAAUCUAGACCCAACUUAUCAACUGGAGGCUCACUGUUCUUAACUUUUCUCUCUCAAAAUUUUCUUUGCCUUUCAGUAUCGUCAUCUAGGGUUUUGCUUUGGGGCAGCCUUUGGUGGCUUUUGUCCCCAAAGGCUAUUUUGCAGCCUCCCUUAAUACGGUAGAGUCUGACUGCCUCGCUAUCCUUAGUGCUUUGGAAGACCGUCGCUUGAUGGAAGAUAGUGAGGGAGGGGAACACUGGUUGACGAUGGUUAUCAGUUUGUGUUGUUUUGUUCAUUAUCCUUUGCUUUGUUUCACCAAUGACGAAACCGUUGGAAGUUUCCAACGAAAGUUUGUAACCUGGAAAGUGAUUUUCAAUCUUCAUCUUCUGUCCUAGCAGAGUUGGGGUUUCUCCUUCUGCUCAAUCUGGUUGGAUGUUCGAUAGUGCAAGGCUAUUUUAGUGGGUCUAAUUAUUGAUCUCCUGCUGUGCUCUUUGUCUGUGCUGAUGGCAGAAGGAACGAGUUAAGAGGAAGACUCAACAAGGCUUUUUAGUAAUUUAUCUAAUACUGUAGGCCUAAAGGCCGAUGUGUUUAGAAUCCUUAUUUGUUGACCCUUUGACCCAAAGUUUAGUUUUUUAGUUAGGCCUACUUGUGCUGUUUCCCUUGUACUGAUAGGGCUUUCUGCCAUUGUUUGAUGCCAUCUAGUUUAUUUCUAUUGUCUAAAAAAACCUAAAUAAUAAAUUUAGGUUGGUUUGAUCGGUUCGGUACGGAUAUUGGCUUAAAUGUCUUUUCUGUUCAACCCUAUCCUUGACCUUUGGUCUGGAACCGAAUUGGCAUCCGCAUUUGAAUCAACAAUUCUAAUUCCAUCAAUGUAAUUCUAGUUUUUUUUUU